UCUCCCUCUGGGGAGGAUCUCGCUGGGGCCUCCAAAUGUUGUGGCGCGAAUGAUUCUGAGACCCAUGGAGCCAAUUGAGAUUAAUUAUGAGCCUUUAUUAG
rnacentral:miRNA from 1 species